UCAUACAUGGAUAAAAGAAAGAGACUGGAUUGGCCUUGUGGGCGGGCCACGCGUGCCGAGGGUGCGAACGAACGUGCAUACCGUUGUCAUAACGCUCAAAUGUUCAUACUUACCGGCUAGCAAUCGCUGUCAUGUUUUGACAGCGUACGUAUCUCCGCAAAAAUAUUAUAUUAUGCCGUCUUGCGCUAUUAUAACGUGUCGGAAAAGAAACCAGGUGUGUAGCAUAGCACGAGAAGGAAUUUCUUUUCACCGGUUUCCAACAGAUCCAGGUGUAACAAAAUUGUGGAUUGACACAACUGGUAGAAUUUUUUUUUUUUCAAGUUCCACCACACAGAUUAGAAACUGCGUAUAUUUUUAUCUCCACCAUAUUUAUACAGACAUUGGUCUUAAAAACUAAGCUUAUAUAAUAAUUAAUAGUAUAAUAAAUUAUGUAGCAAGUUACACGACCAGGUUUAAAACAAUUGAAAUGACAAGUGGUGGGAUUCAGGAACCCAAACUAGGAAAACCUGUACUAUGGGCUCCUGGAUUACUACUAAAUGUAGCAUAUUUCGUUCGCAACAUUUCGAUGUUGAUAAUUACAUAAUAACAAAGUCAGGGAAAAGAAACUUAAAAUUAGGCGUUUAUCCGCACAAUAUCGCAAUGUGUAAUUCAGUAAGUAAACUGAUUUUAUUUUAGAAAAUUUUAAAUUAGUCUCUUUAAAUCAGUUUUUUUGUCUAAAAAUGGCGAUAUUUAAAAUAUCAUCUUUCGUAAAUUUAAAAAAUGAAAUAAUAUAACCAUGUUAUUUCAAUGUGUUCUGUACUUUAUACAGAUUAUUGUAAAUGUGAGAGCCCUGUAAUUAGCUAAAUUAGACUAGUAGAAUGCAUUUGUGUCAGCUUAGAGUUGUCAUGCUCACUCAAAGGUCUCACUGGCGGUGGCACGGGCAUUGGAUCGUUCGAUUCCCUGCAACAUGGUUGAGUUGGACGGUGCUGGUGUACGUGUCAUGUUGGUGAACGAGCGCUGUCAACUGGGACUGGUCAGCUCCAGACUGUAUUAAUUUUGUUGUUCUUAAGGUUUUUUUCUAUCGCUUUGACUGAAUAUUAGUUUUACAUUGUUCUCACAUAGUUCAAGCAAUCGAUGCAAAGAAAAGCAAUGUUAUCAAGAAUUGUAUUGUGAAUCUAAUUGAAAAAGAUCGAAGAACAGAUCUUCGAUCUUCUCCAUAGGAAUCUACACUUUGGAACGAGCAAAUAGCUUCACUAGAGGGCUGACCGACAGACAGACGUUAUUAAUAUUAUUAUAUUUGCUUUGACGUUCAAAAGUGCCUAUGAUUUAUUUAUUUUUUACUGAUUUUUAACUUAUUGAGUAUUAAAAUUGGUUUUAAAAUUCA